rnacentral:rRNA from 1 species
GACGAACGCUGGCGGCGUGCUUAACACAUGCAAGUCGAGCGGAAAGGCCCUUCGGGGUACUCGAGCGGCGAACGGAUGAGUAACACGUGAGUAACCUGCCCUAGGCUUUGGGAUAACCCCGGGAAACCGGGGCUAAUACCGGAUAUGACCUGGUGCCGCAUGGUGUUGGGUGGAAAGUUUUUUCGGCCUGGGAUGGGCUCGCGGCCUAUCAGCUUGUUGGUGGGGUGAUGGCCUACCAAGGCGAUGACGGGUAGCCGGCCUGAGAGGGCGACCGGCCACACUGGGACUGAGACACGGCCCAGACUCCUACGGGAGGCAGCAGUGGGGAAUAUUGCACAAUGGGCGGAAGCCUGAUGCAGCGACGCCGUGUGAGGGAUGAAGGCCUUCGGGUUGUAAACCUCUUUCAGCAGGGACGAAGCGUGAGUGACGGUACCUGCAGAAGAAGCGCCGGCCAACUACGUG